CCUUUACCGAGGAGGCAGGGAGAGGGCAGAGGAAAAGGGGCUCUGGCAGCUGCUGCUCUGCAGGUCCUGUGGCUCAGAAGGCACGCACUGGUGCUGCUCCUUCUGGGCCAUGCGCGGAAACGGCUGGGAGUGCGACACCUGCGCUGGUGCGGGCACCGCCUCCCGCCCCAACUCUGAUCC